CCGCUAUACUUUAAGUUCAUUUGAGGGGUGAAAAAUAUUUCAAGAAAAAUAUUCAACGUUGUGUUGUUUAAGUGAAUUGUUGUUGCUGAAGAAGAAAAAAAUGUUUGCAAAAAAUUCAUGAUUUCUGAAAAAAGUCGAUCGCUUAUGUCUCUAAAGAAGUCAUCACCGAAGCAUAUCAAAGAGAGCUGGAUGCUGUCAAAGCAGAAGAAGUCGACGUUGUAAUACUAUCACAAUCGCCGUUAGCGUAGCCAUCAUCGUCGCCAUCAUCGUCGUAACCAUCGUCGUCCCUACGAUGACUAUCGUCGCCAGCCUCACCGUCGCCAGCCUCACCGUCGCCGCCAUUACCAUCGCCGUCACCAUCACCAUCACCACCACCACCACCACCAUCACUACCAUCCUCAACAGUUCCAUUAAAUUCUGCAGUAUGUCAAGGUGGCUUUGUUUCGGUGCUUCAGGCAGUUUCAAUGAUGGAAUCUGAUCUUGAAAAAACGGCACAUGAAACAAACCCCGGUUCAUUACAAACUGUACUUCUAAUAACCCCUGCGGAAUGGUCGGAUUGAGCAAGCGAUGAACCAAUUUUGUGAUAAGAUCGAGAAAGAUGAAAGCGCAAAAAUGGAACGGGCGACAUAUGAUGAAAAAUAGCAUCUCAUCCAGGAAAUUGUUUAUCCGUUGUCGGAUAGCAAAAUUGUUUCAAUCGGCAUCCAACCACUAAAAAAUUAUAGGCCAGUGCUAAAAAUUCACAACGCUGACCUAUCGGGUGUAAUAACUUUGUCGCUGGAAACUUUCAUCGAAUUUAUAAAAGAUGUGAGUAAGGUGUUAGAUUCAGAAGCGGAAUUAGUAAAGGAAGGUCAGCUUUUUUGCCUAUUGAGUGAUUAUGUGAUGAUUAUGUCGAAACAGAGUACCGUGCAAUUUGUUCCCAGGUGACCAUCUGUGUAUACAAAUUUAUACUUAUCAAUUACAAGUCUAAGACCAAUAAUCAAAAUGAGUGAUCACUUUUUAAAUAUUUUACAUGCGCGAAGGAUUCAGCACAAGUGUUUUCCCUGUUAUAAAAAUUUCAUUAACACUGUUACUUUGGCUAUGAUGUCCAAGAAUAAUAAUACGUAUGAUGAAAAACUUUUUAGUGUGAUUAAAGAACUGUACGAUGAUAAUGGCGUAUUAUAUGAAAUCAUAUUAAAGCUACCUUAAGUGUUAAGAGGGAUGUGAAUAAUAAGAUUGCUUAUUAUUAUCAGGGCUCAUAAGAUGUUUAUAAUUGUAUUUAAGAAUUAAAUAAAUGUUUAAACCCAUAUAAUUGAUUUAUAAUAAGAGACUAGAUAAAAAGGUGUGCCUAUGUAUGUGCCCAUGUAGAGAGAGAGAGAGAAAAUAGCGUCUAAUUACUUUGGUGCCAUAGGUUUACUAGUAAACCUUAAUAAACUUAAUUUAGUAAACCUUUUAAGAUCAUUAGCAUUAUUUUUCACUGAAAAUGGUAUGUCGUCAUCCCUUUAGCUAUGUGACCAUAAUUUCUAUUUAUUAGUGGAGCCAUUUGGAUAAGCAAUUAUGGACAUUAAAAAGUGACAAGUGUUUAGUUUACGAUAGGUACAAGGAAAAAAUGUAGAAGGGUUGGUUGUCUAAAUAAAAGCACCCGAAAUUUCUUGUUAUUAUUUCUUCAUCUCAACUCUUGUCUUGUGCAUCGUGUCGUGCUGUCGUAUGUGUAUGUGUAAUGGAAUCGUUUACGGAAUAUUUACAGUCGCUUACCAUAACAAACAUAUUGCAUAUGUUUCAAUACAGAACGCUGAAGUCGGCAAAUUAUUUAAGAAGUGCUGUAAAUUGUGUGAACUCAAAAAUAAUUUUUGAAAGUGGCUCAUUAAAUGAGUUGGAAAAAACUCUUUACGCAGCCUUGGUGGACAAGCUGCGUUUAUAUGAAAAUCAAGAGAAACAAAAUAUUUCAACGACAAAUUCAUUCACAACUCAAGCUGAUAAGAUGUUGAACAAUAGCGUUGAAGAAAAUGGUUCGUUUCAAGGACGUUCUAACCUCCUUGAUAUGAAUAAUUUCUAUAUCGAAAAUUUCACUCUUCAAUCACCUUGUAAUAACCGUGUUAUCGAAGGAGAAGAAGAGAUUGAUUACGAAAAUCUGGUACCAUCGACAUCUAAGCAACAUAAUACAUUAAACUUGUCGAAUCAAGAACGUGGCGGUGGAAGUGUCAAUAACAUUCGACGAAAUUCAACGAUGCCCCUGUAUCUACAUAACAAUUCAAGUAGUAAAGGCGGCACAUUUGUGAGGGCCCAAUCAACCACCUGUCUCAUAAAGAAUAAGAUUUUUAAGAUAUGUGCGCUGUACUUUUUACAUUGCGGUAUAUGGUUUCACAAAAGGGUCCCAUUAUGCACCUGUCAUCAUAACAAUAUAUCUUGUCCGUGGAAUUUUAAGUGACGCUGUACUUUUACAUCGCUGCAAUAUGGUUUCAACUGUACUUUAAGUUUCCUAUAAAAGGCUUGAAAAAUUCAAGAGAAAUACUCAUUGUUGUACUGUUCAAGUGUGUUUUUUCCGAAGAAGAUCUCCUGUCUCCUGGUUAAAAUUCAAGAUGACUGGAAAACGUAUCUCUCUAACUCUAUUGAAAAAAUCGGCUCCUAAGCGUCUGAAACCGCAGGAAGUCAUCGAAAAAGCGACGGUACCACUUCCAUCAACUUCUUCUGCAGUGAAAUCUAGGGCACUUGUUAGUUCUCCAAUUCCUAGUUACACGCCCCAAGAUGUAAUAACCCCUGACGAAUGGUCUGAUUCAUCGUUGGGGCAGUCGUUGAUCCAGCUGUUUGAUAAAGUGGAAAAAGAUGAAAGGGAAAAACUGGAGUGAAUGAUAGCUAAUGAAAAACAUCGUCUGAUCCGCGAGACUGUGUACCCGAUAACAAGGUCCGGCAGUAAGUUUGUAUCAAUUGGGGUUAAACCGCUCGAAGAUUAUCGUCCAGUGCUGAAGAUUCAUAACAUCAGCAGCAAUUUUUUCGAUGGAUACUUUUACCGAAUUUGUGCAAGACAUGCGUAAAGUGUUGGAGUGCGGGCUCGAAUCAGUGCUGGAGGGACAAAUUUUCGCCGUAUUAAGUGAUUACGUGGCUAUAAAGUGUAAACAUGUAAAUUUUUACCGACGUUACUGUCUGUGUAUAAAUGUUUAUUCUUAUCAAUUGAGACCAUUAGAGUUUUGACAAAAAUGGAUGAUCACUUAUUAAAUGUUUUACAAGGACGAAAGAUUCAGUACAAAAGUUAUCCCUGUUACAGUAGUUUUAUAAAUAAUGUUGCUUUAGAAAUGUUGUCGAAGGACCCAUCUAAAUUUAAUGAAACACUUUUUGAUGUAAUUAAAAUAGGUACGAUGAUAAUGGUGUAUUGUAUGAAAUAAUAUUAAAAAUGCCUGUUAAUGUUAAAACGGACGUAAAUGCUAGAGUUGCUUAUUAUAGAGACCACAAUGACUAUAACUGUUUGUAAAAUUACCAAUAAUAGAAAAUACAUGUUUAAACAAAAAAAAAGCUUACCUUUUUACCCUUUAUAAAUCAUACAGUAUGAUUAUUCUUGUGUUAGUAUUAAACGGUAUUAUAACACGAUUAAUUGCAA